ACGAACGCUGGCGGCGUGCUUAACACAUGCCAGUCGAACGGAAAGGCCCUGCUUUUGUGGGGUGCUCGAGUGGCGAACGGGUGAGUAACACGUGAGUAACCUGCCCUUGACUUUGGGAUAACUUCAGGAAACUGGGGCUAAUACCGGAUAGGAGCUCCUGCUGCAUGGUGGGGGUUGGAAAGUUUCGGCGGUUGGGGAUGGACUCGCGGCUUAUCAGCUUGUUGGUGGGGUAGUGGCUUACCAAGGCUUUGACGGGUAGCCGGCCUGAGAGGGUGACCGGCCACAUUGGGACUGAGAUACGGCCCAGACUCCUACGGGGGGCAGCAGUGGGGAAUAUUGCACAAUGGGCGGAAGCCUGAUGCAACAACGCCGCGUGCGGGAUGACGGCCUUCGGGUUGUAAACCGCUUUCGCCUGUGACGAAGCGUGAGUGACGGUAAUGGGUAAAGAAGCACGGCUAACUACGUG
rnacentral:rRNA from 1 species